ensembl:lncRNA
GUCUGUGCCAGAAAUUCAUCCACUAAUUUAUUCAAGCCUUCUGAAAUAUUUAUGAUCAACGGGCAUAUGAUAUGCAAAUUAAAAGAGCUUCAUGUCUAAUCCUGAAGCUAAUUAGAAAGGUUCAUCAUCCAAUCCAGAAACAGAAGAUACAAGUACAUCACUCUACUGUUUUCGGGACCAUGAUUAGUCUGAGAAAAGAAGGUAAUAACAU